CAGUCGUACCAGCGGGAAAUCAACCUUUCGAGUGGGAUCUUGGAGCUUUAAAGAGUUUCAAAGCCUUUGGGGUUUUAAGAUUUCUACUCUUUUGGUGUACUUUCUCGUAGGUAGGUCAACAUCGAUUUUGAACAUCAUAAAAAGAUCGGAGGAAUGUAGCUUCGAUCUCGUAUUGAAGUGUUAUAGCCUUUGGUAAAUGUGAUGUUCAAGAUCGAGGAUUGCAACGAAUAUCCUUUUGGGCUAUUCGUCUGAUCUCUGAUACGUGGCCUUGGUAUCGAAAGCGUGCUUACGGUAUUAAGGUAUUACGGUCAAAAGGUUAGAACGGAUUACA
rnacentral:rRNA from 1 species